GCGUCGGUAGCGCAAUUGGUUAGCACGCGCCCCCCGAAAGGGUGAAAUCCGAGUUCGAGUCCCGCGCGCCCAACAUA